rnacentral:lncRNA from 1 species
CUCCUCUCUUCCUCCUUCUAUUCAUUUCCUCUUGUUUCCCCCCUCCUGCUUUUCCUUCUCUUUUUUUUUUUUUAUUUUUGAGAAUAGGCCUCAUGUAUCCCAGGCUAGCCUCAUUCUGUAGCAGAGGAUAACCUUGAAAUCCUGGUACCCCUUCCUCCACCUCUCAGGUGCUGGGAUUACAGGCAUGCCCUGCUAUGCCUAGCCUGUGAGGUGUAGGGACGGAACCCAGGUUACCUCUAUGCUAGGUCCUUACGUGACUGGGACCCAGGCUGGACUCAGAGACAGCCUAUGUGCUCUGGAGUCCUGAAGGAAGUGACAGAAGAACACACAUUGCAUAUAAGGUGACUGGAAAGCUCUGAGAUCAAGAAUAGGAACAGCUGAUCUACCUGUCUAGAAAGACUCUGAGGACAAACAGCCCAAACACUCCUCUCUCUCCAGACAGAUGUGUCACCCAUGAAUCACCCCAGAGAACGCAUAGGCAAAGCCCCUCCGAUUGACCUCGUCAGAUCAUAGCUGCAAAGAUGUCAAUGUCACCUGCCUGUGGCCAUCCUGAGUGGAGCCAGAUUCCAACUUCAGACAUGUGAGCUGCACCAAGAGAGGUGAGACUUCACAGUGUCCCUGCCGCACUCAAAGAGGCCUGAAGAGCUUAAAGAUGGAAAACAGAUGUUUACUCAGCUCCUUGCUCCCCAUAACGUCUCGUGAGACUCUGCAGCUUCACCAUCAAAACCAAAAAUAAGCACCGUCCAUCCGGGAGUAUCAGGUAGGAUGUCUGGCCAUACCUGGGCUUGCUGCUGGAGGCACUAGCAGUUUUGCAGCUGCUGUAGUAUACCCCCACUCGCUGGCAUUUUCCAUACUGGUAGUGGCAGCCAGUUUCCUGGAUUCCUCCUUCUGAAAUAAACCUGUU